UUUUUACGUAUCUGAUUUCCA
rnacentral:piRNA from 1 species